CACUCCUGGGAAAGGAUCUACCAUAUUUUGAAGAUCCAAUGUUUUGGAUUGCCAUAUGGAGAGAGAUGAGGAACUCUAUGUCCUGAAGUUGACAGGUACUUCCGAGUCUUUCCUUUGCUAGAUUAUGGGCUGACAUAAAAGAACAGCAUCUCCUGUGAGAUUUGAAUAAAAGAAUAAUCGGGACCUCAACAAGAGAGAUUGUGAAGUAACUGGUCCACUGGAUCUGAAGUCAAUUAAGAGGUGGACUGUGGUGUACAUGAGCUUUUCAGCCAGAUCACUAAGAUCAUGGUAAAAUAAUGACUGUUGUUUACCAAUCUGAAGCAGGCUUUCUCACAGAGAAAAGACUUGGUAGGCGGGAACGCUAUGUGUUCGUCUGGAGAUAAAGUGCAGGCAUUGCCCCAGGUCCUGGUGACGUUUGAGGAAGAGGAGGGGGAGGUGUCACUCUGGAGAGGAAGAAACCACCAGCACCAGGAUUUCCUGCUCACAGGCUAAUUGGGUGUCCUGUGGAAACCUCAUUGUGCUGAGCUCCUGAAGAUGGAUGUCAAUGAAGAAUCUCCUCAGCACUUUCUGUGGGGCUAUCCUGUAACCACUGAAUCCCUCUGCUAACUGCUGGCUCUCAGGUUUUCUGUGGAAAGGAUGCUAAAGAGUGGGAAAUUUAACAACAGAGAAGCUGUAGCUCCAGGAUAAUCACCCCCUUUUCCAGGUCUGUCUGUAGACCUCUAGACAGUCUGCAUCACGUCGAACCACCCCUCUCUCUCCUUCUUAAUCAGGGCUAAGAGAGGU
rnacentral:lncRNA from 1 species